rnacentral:rRNA from 1 species
UACGAAGGGGGCUAGCGUUGCUCGGAAUCACUGGGCGUAAAGCGCACGUAGGCGGCUUGUUAAGUCGGGGGUGAAAUCCUGGAGCUCAACUCCAGAACUGCCCUCGAUACUGAUGAGCUCGAGUCCGGGAGAGGUGAGUGGAACUGCGAGUGUAGAGGUGAAAUUCGUAGAUUUUCGCAAGAACACCAGUGGCGAAGGCGGCUCACUGGCCCGGUACUGACGCUGAGGUGCGAAAGCGUGGGGAGCAAACAGG